rnacentral:rRNA from 1 species
UGGGGAAUAUUGCACAAUGGGGAAGACCCUGAUGCAGCGACGCCGCGUGAAGGAAGAAGUAUUUCGGUAUGUAAACUUCUAUCAGCAGGGAAGAAAAUGACGGUACCUGACUAAGAAGCCCCGGCUAACUACGUGCCAGCAGCCGCGGUAAUACGUAGGGGCAAGCGUUAUCCGGAUUUACUGGGUGUAAAGGGAGCGUAGACGGUAUGGCAAGUCUGAUGUGAAAGGCCGGGGCUCAACCCCGGGCAGCAUCGCAUUUGGAAAACUGUCGGACUGGAGUGCCGGAGGGGUAAGCGGAAUUCCUAGUGUAGCGGUGAAAUGCGUAGAUAUUAGGAGGAACACCAGUGGCGAAGGCGGCUUACUGGACGGUAACUGACGUUGAGGCUCGAAAGCGUGGGGAGCAAACAGGAUUAGAUACC